CGCACACUCCCCUGAGAUCGCUCUAUACCUGACGUGAAGCCUGUUCUCUUCUUGCCUCUGAGCCCAGGGAGUGGGGCCACGCCAUCGCCUCCUAAAUAGCUUUGCGCUCCUUGAGACCCCGAAUCUUCGCUGGGCGAGAGACUCUCCCUCCUUGUGUCACCCGUUCCACACGACUUUUUUCCUUUGGGUGGCAUGGAGCAAGAGCUCAGGCAUCUGUGCUCUGGGGAGUUGAAAACUGGACAGUAAGAAUAAACUCUAAGGAUCGAGGGGAGCUCCAGGGAGUUGUAUAAGCAGUGAGUAGGGGAAGGGCCAAGAGCCCUCACUGACUGGUGUCCUGGUUUGGAAAAUGGGAUUAUUUCCAGCCAAGCAGGAGUGAUGGAGGAUCAACUGGUAUGUACAGAGUGUGGGCAAUAAGGACCAUACAGGAUGAUGUCCCAUGAAUACAACUGUUAAGAAUUCAUCUCACUCAUUAUACUUGCCUGGUUAAUCAUGAGCUUCUUCUCAUACCUGCCCGAGGAAGACACAACUGACUCUGGUCUGGCAAGGCUGGUAGAGAAAUGACCUAAUGAAAAUGGCAGCUUUCAUAUCGAAAUGCAGAGUAUAUGGCUACAUCAAAAAAUUUUUUUUCAAUAAAUCCCAGGAAGAAACUAGGUCAGUACCUACAGUUCCCCUAUUUCCUAUUUGUUAAAUAGUAGGCAGACAGAAGAGGCCUGAGGGGAGACUGGCUGAUUACCCGAACUACUACAUCAUGAAAAUGCAGAGAACUUCUUGGGAGAGUCCCAAAGUUCAGUCUUGGGUAGGAAGACAGAACCUAGUUAGAGCUGCUGAAGAGGAAAAGAAGCUACCAAGCUACUGUCAGAGGACAGAAACAACAAACGCUUCACAGCACAGCAGUCUCACAGCGACCUCAGGAGGAAAUCUGAACCACUGCACUCCUGCGGCGUCCACCUCUAGACAGACUCUGGGAGGCCCCAUUCCUCUUGCAGCUGCCACUGCUCCUCUGCACCAAACUAUCCUGUGUGUGUCAGGAGUGUGGGGAGUGGGGACAGGGAGCCAGGACACACUGACUUCCCCAUUGGCCCCAUCACCUAUGAAUGUCUCCUACUAGCUCCACUGCCACCUACUGCCUCCCCAAAGCUGCCGCCAGACUCACCUGGACUGGCUCCUCCAAGACUCCACUGCAAAUAGGACAGAUAAGGUCUUCGUCAACAUCCCCCUGGAAACGGGUUACAUCAUACCCCAUGUCUCAUCACUGAAACCCAGGUCCUGGAAGGAACAACAGAGGAAAAAGAGGCCAGUUCAGAAGAUCAGACAUGUGCCAACUUGAUCUCAUUGCCAAGAUCCAUUCAUUUGUCCAAUAAAUAUUUACUGAGAGCUUA